rnacentral:rRNA from 1 species
UGGGGAAUUUUGGACAAUGGGCGAAAGCCUGAUCCAGCAAUGCCGCGUGUGUGAAGAAGGCCUUCGGGUUGUAAAGCACUUUUGUCCGGAAAGAAAUCCUUGGCUCUAAUACAGUCGGGGGAUGACGGUACCGGAAGAAUAAGCACCGGCUAACUACGUGCCAGCAGCCGCGGUAAUACGUAGGGUGCAAGCGUUAAUCGGAAUUACUGGGCGUAAAGCGUGCGCAGGCGGUUUGCUAAGACCGAUGUGAAAUCCCCGGGCUCAACCUGGGAACUGCAUUGGUGACUGGCAGGCUAAAGUAUGGCAGAGGGGGGUAGAAUUCCACGUGUAGCAGUGAAAUGCGUAGAGAUGUGGAGGAAUACCGAUGGCGAAGGCAGCCCCCUGGGCCAAUACUGACGCUCAUGCACGAAAGCGUGGGGAGCAAACAGGAUUAGAUACCCUGGUAGUCCACGCCCUAAACGAUGUCAACUAGUUGUUGGGGAUUCAUUUCCUUAGUAACGUAGCUAACGCGUGAAGUUGACCGCCUGGGGAGUACGGUCGCAAGAUUAAAAACUCAAAUGAAUUGACGGGGUC